UUGUAUCCAUUUUUACAAAUAUAUCAUGUGUUAAAAUAUAAUGUGAUCUACAUAGGCUUAAAUUAAAUAUGCAAACUAUAAUACUAUAUUCUUUUUUCUUUAUAAUAUUUGAUUGUAAUCAAAAUACAUUGAUCAAUGGUUUAUCGCGCCGGUCAACGAUCUAGUACCAAACACAAGCAACAGAUUUGAGCACAGAACAUAACAAUCACAAAUGCUAUCUGCUCCUUAGGACAGGUGCCAGGCUUUGCCUCCUUUCAUAUUGAAUCUCUUGAGCCUCCCAAAGAACAUAACCAAUAUAAGGAUACACUUCCCCUCUGUACUCCACUUUCCCGAAAAUCCAAUCCAUGAAUCUUUGCAACCACUUUCUCAUAGACACUAAGAUCCAUUCCAUGGAACAAAACAAUACAAAUUGCAUCGCAUUGAAACCAACAGUGACGUGCAGAUAGCCCAUUUCCUUUGAAUUCUUCAGUAGGUAAGAGAAUUCCUCUCUUUUAUAUAACAAUACAAGUUGAAGCAUGGAAGUAAAAACUUCACCACCUACAAACAUAAGGUAAGAAAAAUGAGUUGGGAAUUAAGUAUAAUUAAGAAAAAUGAGUUGGGAAUUAAGUAUAAAACUUCACCUAUAUAACAAUGUGCAAAGAUUCAUGGAUUGGAUUUUCGGGAAAGUGGAGUACAGAGGGGAAGUGUAUCCUUAUAUUGGUUAUGUUCUUUGGUAGGCUCAAGAGAUUCAAUAUGAAAGGAGGCAAAGCCUGGCACCUGUCCUAACGAGCAGCUAGCAUUUGUGAUUGUUAUGUUCUGUGCUCAAAGCUGUUGCCUGUAUUUGGUAUAUAUAAUAUGCUAAAAUAUGUCAUUAGUCCCUGCAGUUAUACCAUUUUAUGGGUUUGGUCCCUACAAUUUUUUUUGUUUGGUUUUAGUCACUGCAGUUUAUAAAAAAUAUUGAUUUUGGUCCGUGAUGUUAGUUAGACGUUAAAAAAAAGUGAAAGUUAAAGGUGAAGGUGAAAAAAACACAAGAAGGGGGGUUGAAUUGUGUUUGCUUUUUCUUUGUUUUCUCCUAAACUGAAGUCACUGUUCAGAACCUAAUAGAGUUCAGCUUCUGAAGUGAUGUUCAGAAUCUAAAUGCAGCGGAUAAAAACAGAGAAAGCGAGAGAGAAGAAAGACACAAAACAAUUAUAUGUUGGAACAAAAUGUGUUUCACAAUGAACCUUAUUAAGUUUUGAUGAUAACAAGGUAUUAAAAAUUAUAAAUUGGUUAUUACUAAUAAUUGUUCAAGUGUACAGGACCAAAGGCUACUCAAGUUAUUUCAAUAGGUCUUGGAAGAACAAUGGAAAGAAAAAGAAAUUCUGAGCAUCUGAAGAAAACUGCUCCUGAAGCUGAAGUGCUUCUGAAGAGAUGACGUCAUCAGAAGCAGAAGGUCAUCAGAAGCAAAAGUUUUCAUCAGAAGCAAUAUCUUCACCAGAAGCUACGUUUGAUCCUUUAAUCAAACUGAAGAUUCAAAGUAGCUGAUUCUCAAUUCAGUCUUAUCAAAGAAGAACGAAGAAUUGAAAGGGAGGUAUCAACGGAUAUAUGGAUAGCACUGAGCUCUUGUCUCUCGUUAAUAGAGUUGACAAAGUACAAGUGUACAACCACUACCUCCACUACUCUGUUUUCUGUCUACGCUACAAGACAAAACAACAGCCAUGCCUGCAGAAUUUGUACACUCAAGAUGGGAAUGAAUUUGAAGUUUAUUCUUCAAAGGACUACACCCAAAUCAGGCAAAGGAUCACUGGUGGAUAAUCAAAGGAUUUCAAACGACUCUUUAGACGUGCUGAUUAUCUCAACGUCUCUUUCACGCCUCUAUAUAAAGGAGUGAAGACUUGAAGAUUGUAGAUAGAGAUACAUAAGUUCAAAAGCGCCAAAACUCUGUCAAUUUGAUUCUACAAAGCACACUGAAUUUCUGCACUGAUUUGAUACAUCUUAGAAAUUCAAAGUCUAGAGUCUUUUCUGUAUUGUAUUGUGAACACCACUGAUUGUAUAUCAAGUGUUCAAUUCAAACUCAAUUCUCUGUAUUUUUGUUUGAUUAGAAGUCUCUUGCCUGCGUGCUUGAGCAUUAGAAGUCUCUUGCUUAGUGCUUGAGCAUUGGAAGACUCUUGCGUGUGUGCUUGAGCAUUUUUGUGAAGUCUCAUACUUAGAAAGUAUUGAGCAGUUGUAAUCUUUGUGAUUAUAGUGAAAUCUCCUUGGAAGUGCAAGGGGGACUGGACUACUUCCGUGUUGUGGAAGGAACCAGGAUAACUGCUUGUGUCUUUGUCUUUCUUUUCUCUGCUCUGUUCUUUUCCGCUGCAAUCUGACUCUGAUCAUUUCAUCAGAAGCAAUCAAACUGCUUCUGAAGUUUUAUCAGAAGAAGUAUUUUUUAAGAGAAAAAGAAAACACAAUUCAACCCCCCCCUUCUUGUGUUUUUCACCUUCAUUAUACAGGUUCCUUCCAUAAACCGGAAGUAGUUAAGAGAAUUCUUCAGUAGGUAAGAGAAUUCCUCUCUUCUACAUAGAAUGGAUCUUAGUGUCUAUGAGAAAGUGGUUGCAACUUUAUAUUUGAAGAACUUGUUUGGCCUUAACGUGUUAAGUGGGAAGGAAUUUAUAGAUAAAGGAAUUUAUAAAUAAUCUUUGGCUUAAUUAUAUUUUUGUCCCCCGAUUUUUAUCAUUUUAUGAAAUUGAUCCCCCUAUUUUAAAAUUUGACAGUUUUGGUCCCUCUAUCUAAUAAUUUG
rnacentral:lncRNA from 1 species